CUUAAGCGUAAACAACUUUUCGGAGAAUUUCACCCAAGUAUUUUGUGCAAAUCCAUCGAUUUACUGAGCUUCUCAGACAUUUGAAGAGAAAGCCUCUCGUCGUGCUAAGUCAAGACCAGUCUACCAAAAUUGAUCGUUGUUGAAUUCCUUGGUAAUUACCUGUUUGAACAAGUCUUUUAUGGCCACUGGAACAAUACAAUGCCCAGGAUGUGGCCAGAAUAUCAUGCAAGGUGCUGCAGUAGAGUGCAACUUUAAACCAAGUUCCGAAGCUGCAACACGUCAAAAGGUCUUUGAUGUACCUCAAGAGAGACACUGGCUGUGUAUGGAGUGCAAAUACAUAGUGGAAAAUCGCUAUGGUGACUUAUCAACCGUGACAACAGAAGAUGCUUACACUUUGCUUUACAGUGUCAGACUAAACAAGAAAUCUAAUUGCUGUAAUCCCUGUGCAGUUAUAUAGCAUAACCCUGUCAUCAAAUCUAAUAGCUAGUGAAAAGCAUUACUGUUGCAUGUUACUGGGUAAUGUUACUCUAAUUGCUGUACAAUGGACAAAGUUGUAACUUCCAUGCAUUGAGUAUGCCCUUUCAGCCCUUCAUGAUGAUCCAUUACCCAAACAAGAGAUUCAAGCAAAAAAUGACAACUCAAAAGCAACAGCAAGCUCAAAUGCUCACAGAUUUAUUCAUACUGGUCCAUCUGAUGUUCAUUAACAACAGAGAUUGCAGAAUUGCAUGGUUUUCCAGCAAUCUCUGUUGUCAAGAAUUGUUAUUGAUAAUUCUCAGUCAAAAAUCUCCAAGCUACACACAUCCCAAAAUCAUAACAGACUGAACAAAUGACACAUACAAAAUUCUUUGUUCAUAAAGAAACACCAAUCUGGUGCCAGCUAGGGAUUCAUUUUAUUGUGUUUCCUUUGUAACUGAGGUAAUGCGAUUCUAAAUACCACAAACUGCCUGUUAUGUUCUUAGAAAAUGAGCAGUUUAAAUUUGGAUUUUUUUUUCCAUGUUUCCUUAAAUGGGAACCCUUCUAUCCAAAUACAUAAAAUAAGACAAAUGAAUGCCCCUUUCAAGAUAAUGAAAAAUGGCAAACAUUACAAGGUUAUUUUAAAAUAUUAUCAUUAUUGUAUCUAACCCUAAUUGUGUACAUUGUAUCAUGGCCUGUUUGAGGGUCCUCAGUGACAUUCUUUUUCACCUCACACCAUAUUUUUGAUGGAAUCUAGGAUAGUUUUCCAUUUUUUAACAAGUUUACUUCUGUGAAAAUACAUUUUUGCCUAUCUAUUGGGUACCUAAAAAUGUAACAAAGGCAGAAUGUUUUGCAUCUAAAUCUGCACUACUGUGUGGUGAA